UACGUAGGGUGCAAGCGUUGUCCGGAAUUAUUGGGCGUAAAGAGCGUGUAGGCGGCCCGAUUAGUCCGCUGUGAAAGUCCAGGGCUCAACCCUGGAAUGCCGGUGGAUACUGUCGGGCUAGAGUCCGGAAGGGGCGAGUGGAAUUCCUGGUGUAGCGGUGAAAUGCGCAGAUAUCAGGAGGAACACCGAUGGCGAAGGCAGCUCGCUGGGACGGUACUGACGCUGAGGCGCGAAAGCGUGGGGAGCGAACAGG
rnacentral:rRNA from 1 species